GAUGAACGCUGGCGGCGUGCCUAAUACAUGCAAGUCGAGCGAACAGACGAGGAGCUUGCUCCUCUGACGUUAGCGGCGGACGGGUGAGUAACACGUGGAUAACCUACCUAUAAGACUGGGAUAACUUCGGGAAACCGGAGCUAAUACCGGAUAAUAUAUUGAACCGCAUGGUUCAAUAGUGAAAGACGGUUUUGCUGUCACUUAUAGAUGGAUCCGCGCCGCAUUAGCUAGUUGGUAAGGUAACGGCUUACCAAGGCGACGAUGCGUAGCCGACCUGAGAGGGUGAUCGCCCACACGGGAACGGGGACACGGUCCAGACGCCUACGGGAGGCAGCAGUAGGGAAUCUUCCGCAAUGGGCGAAAGCCUGACGGAGCAACGCCGCGUGAGUGAUGAAGGUCUUCGGAUCGUAAAACUCUGUUAUUAGGGAAGAACAAAUGUGUAAGUAACUACGCACGUCUUGACGGUACCUAAUCAGAAAGCCACGGCUAACUACGUG
rnacentral:rRNA from 1 species